CCUACGGGAGGCAGCAGUGGGGAAUAUUGCACAAUGGGGGAAACCCUGAUGCAGCGACGCCGCGUGAGCGAAGAAGUAUUUCGGUAUGUAAAGCUCUAUCAGCAGGGAAGAAAAUGACGGUACCUGACUAAGAAGCACCGGCUAAAUACGUGCCAGCAGCCGCGGUAAUACGUAUGGUGCAAGCGUUAUCCGGAUUUACUGGGUGUAAAGGGAGCGUAGACGGCUGUGUAAGUCUGGAGUGAAAGCCCGGGGCUCAACCCCGGGACUGCUUUGGAAACUAUGCAGCUAGAGUGUCGGAGAGGUAAGUGGAAUUCCCAGUGUAGCGGUGAAAUGCGUAGAUAUUGGGAGGAACACCAGUGGCGAAGGCGGCUUACUGGACGAUGACUGACGUUGAUGCUCGAAAGCGUGGGGAGCAAACAGGAUUAGAUACCCUGGUAGUCC
rnacentral:rRNA from 1 species